rnacentral:rRNA from 1 species
AGUGAACGCUGGCGGUAGGCCUAACACAUGCAAGUCGAACGGCAGCACAGUAAGAGCUUGCUCUUACGGGUGGCGAGUGGCGAACGGGUGAGGAAUGCAUCGGAAUCUACUUUUUCGUGGGGGAUAACGUAGGGAAACUUACGCUAAUACCGCAUACGACCUACGGGUGAAAGCAGGGGAUCUUCGGACCUUGCGCGAUUGAAUGAGCCGAUGUCGGAUUAGCUAGUUGGCGGGGUAAAGGCCCACCAAGGCGACGAUCCGUAGCUGGUCUGAGAGGAUGAUCAGCCACACUGGAACUGAGACACGGUCCAGACUCCUACGGGAGGCAGCAGUGGGGAAUAUUGGACAAUGGGCGCAAGCCUGAUCCAGCCAUACCGCGUGGGUGAAGAAGGCCUUCGGGUUGUAAAGCCCUUUUGUUGGGAAAGAAAAGCAGCAGGUUAAUACCCCGCUGUUCUGACGGUACCCAAAGAAUAAGCACCGGCUAACUUCGUG